rnacentral:ncRNA from 2 species
AUAUUUAUUUAAAGUUUUGGUUCUUUGGUAUUUCAGCCAAAGAUUAAAAGGGAAUCGGGUGAGAAUCCCGAGCGGACCGGCCACUGUGAAUGGGGAGAAUCCUUUCUGUAGACCACUGGAGAAGUUCUCUGGGAAGGUGAAAGGGCUUUCGAAGAUCCAUGAGCCAGGAGACCUGCCAAAACUGAUGAGUAUAG